CAGAGUUCAUGCCCUCACGGGUAGACCUCCCACCCUUGUAAUCUCAUACCAGUCUUCUACUUUGGCAGGCUGCUGACUCCGGUCAGCGAAUGCCAGAAGAACCAAACUCAUGAUAUUUUUGCUGUCUGAGUCAUUAUUUAAUAAAAUA
rnacentral:misc_RNA from 1 species